ACACUGCCGAGAAAAGCCUCUAGAUAGAAAAUAGGUGCCCGUACCGCAAACCGACACAGGUAGUCAAGAUGAGAAUUCUAAGGUGAGCGAGCGAACUCUCGUUAAGGAACUCGGCAAAAUGACCCCGUAACUUCGGGAGAAGGGGUGCUCUUUAGGGUUAACGCCCAGAAGAGCCGCAGUGAAUAGGCCCAAGCGACUGUUUAUCAAAAACACAGGUCUCUGCUAAACCGUAAGGUGAUGUAUAGGGGCUGACGCCUGCCCGGUGCUGGAAGGUUAAGAGGAGUGGUUAGCUUCUGCGAAGCUACGAAUCGAAGCCCCAGUAAACGGCGGCCGUAACUAUAACGGUCCUAAGGUAGCGAAAUUCCUUGUCGGGUAAGUUCCGACCCGCACGAAAGGCGUAACGAUUUGGGCACUGUCUCAACGAGAGACUCGGUGAAAUCAUAGUACCUGUGAAGAUGCAGGUUACCCGCGACAGGACGGAAAGACCCCGUGGAGCU
rnacentral:rRNA from 1 species